rnacentral:tRNA from 1 species
GGGGUUGUGGCUUAGUGGUAGAGCACUUGCCUGGAACGCAUGAGGCAAUGGAUUCGAUCCUC